GUGGGAGCCUUUCCCUGCAAGCCUAAAAUGUUCUGAUCCAGUAAGUGGCUUCAGCAUGGUGCCACCCCAGAGGAACCUUCAAUUUGACAACCAGGUUGUGAGAAGAGGACUGUGAUUGUGUCUCUGUGCUCUCUGACAAGCAUUGAGGAAAGCAAAAUGAUUAAAUAUGGGGAAUUGAAGAUUUAUGCCAAUGCUGGGAAUUUGCUGCUAUUAUAUCCACUGCUGAAAUAUCAUUUGAGGCUCUCAGAAAAGGAUUGAGUAUUGUGUCACACUCUUUUGUCUCUCAAGAUGAAGGUCUGGGCUCUUGCAGAGAAAGUUUUUCUCCUCAAUGAGGUGUAUCCCAGAGGAAAGGAAUGCUCAGAUCUCUUCUAGACCUCUACAGUGAGGCUUCUUCUGCCACCCACAGAAAAAAGAAGACAAAGGAGUUCCUCCCAUCCUCGCCCUCCACAGUAAGGCUGGACUAGCAGAAAACCCUGAAGGCAGAGAGCUGGAGAACUGCUUUUUUUUGUUGUUUGUUUUCAACAGCAGCCCCAAAAGAAGCUGGCAAGCAAAGUGGGGAUUGGGGUGAGAAACUGAGGACACCUGUCCAAAGUGACUGCAGCCCCUCUUGAUCACACCAGUGGAACCAGUGCGCCAGGGCAGCCACAGCUUACCAGCACCGUGCUGGCCAGGUGCUUCGGGAGGUGCCUGACCCAGAAACUGAGCACAGCGGUAUGAUUCAGCUUUGAGGUGUGAGAAGCUCUCAGCAGGGCUGGCCAGGCAGGGUUCAGACAGGGAGCUGGCAGCCCGUGCCUCCUUAUUGCCCCAGCUCAAAUGUCGGCACAGCCAGAGAGGCACUCAGUUCUCUUUACACCACGUGUUACUUUAAAACAAAAUCUAUCAGCUUGCAAACAUUUGGACAUCUUUAUGAAGGUCAGGAUUUACACACGAAUUGUCUCUGAAUAUCACAAAUUCUUUCCUGCCUUCUCAUUUCUGGGAAAGCAGAUGUAAAGCCUAAGGGGUGAACAAUACAGGUAUUGUCUGAACAUUCUGUGUAAAUCUUCCUUGACCAAUUUCCCAAAAGUUGUGUCAGCAAGAUGUUUUGUUUUGUCAGUGUUUGGGGUUUGUAUUUUCUUUUUUCUUUGUUUUUAAUCCGAACCCAUGGAUCUGAAUUGGUGUUUCUUCUUGCUGCUUUCACAUCUUUGGUGGUGUCUGUCACACGUUUAAUCUGAAAACCUAUGAGUAACAGUUUGGCUAGAGAGUAAGACAAAAAGAGAAACCUGCUUGUAAAGGAAGAUAAUUGACACAGUGAGAGUCCAGGCCAAAUCCCUUCUACAAACAGUCUCACUGUAGUCAAUGUGAUUAGUUGUGUGAAUAAGGCAAAGAGAAUUUGGCUCUUGCUGCAGUUCCAGCCACCUUUUAUCAUUGGAGAGAGAGAAAAACACCAUAAAAUUAAAUAGGUAUCAUCCUCCCCACAUUCUUAGUGUAACUAUUUUAACUGGAAUGCCUCAUAAACAGAUAAAGGCACUCCUGAGCUUUGGGAAGAUCAUUUUUUAAAUGACCAUUUAGAGCUGGAUUAUGGUUUUACAUUUUCACCUUGGAGCAUUUAAGGGCUGUUUGGGACAUUAAACGCUAACCUAUCAAAGCCUAAACAGAAAGGCAAUGUUGCUUGCGGUCGUACAGCCCACUGAAAUAAUAUACUGCUGGUGCUGUUAAUACUUUCAUUUGUGGAAGCAAAAUGGUGAUUCAAGAACGUUUGAUGCCCCUAAAACUCUCACAGCAGCUGGAUAUUUUACAUUGGUUUCUAUAAUAUUCUUAUGAUAACAUUCCUGUCCCGCAGGGGUCUGCUUGAAUAUCAGAGCACUCAUCUUUUUUAAGUUUUGCAUAAUGUGAGAUAUUAAAAUUAAGGCUGGUGUUUACUGUUCAGUUCUUAUACACGUAUUCCCACAUUCACAGCUAGAUAUUAUUUCCCUUGGAAAUGCUUUCUGUCCCUGCCAGUUACUGAAUGCAAUCAGAUAGCAUUGCGUGGGCCAGCAUACCAAUUAAGUGCUAUGCCUGGAUAUGUGGUGUUUCCUCCAUCAGCAGCUUGAUGGUUCAUCAGCACGUAAGCAGUGUCUGUUGAUAAGAAGAAAGCCUGAUUCCACAAUGGGAGCAGAAUCUAUUUCUUGAAAAUGCUUUCAGGAUACAUUUUGAGGGGGAGAGGGGAAAAGGGGCAGGCAACACAUAAAAUGGUAGGAAAAAAUGAAACAGGAGGAAAGAUUAAUGAAAGCAGGAUCAGAAAUAUAUUCAAUUAGAACUCGCAGGCCCAGUCAUAUUACACUGCUACUGUACAUCUUGUCAUUAUCCAAAUCUGUUGCUAAACUGUUGGCGUUUGUCUUCAUUAUGCGGUAAAAUGGUAUAAUGAGUAGUUACAAAUACGAUGGAGGAAAUGCCCUGGAAUUAUCACAAUUCCUGAGAAUAAAAAAUGCCUUAAUUUAAAUUAUUGGUGUGCAGCGUCUGCCAAGUGCACAGACAGAUGUGAAGAGUGGAACGUGAUUUUGUUCUGAUGCUGCCUUCAAAGUUUCUGUUCCAGUUCAAAGCAGUUUUCAGGCUGAAUUCUUCCUUGAAAGCCAGUGUCAGGGAUGCGAUACAACAGAGAGCAGCAUUUGACAUAUUUCUCAGCUGCGAGGAUCUGCACAGCCUGAUAUCUUAAGUCCAGUUUUGAAGCCUUUUGCAAGCAGCUCUCCCCCACAUUUCAGCUGAAGAGCUGGUUAGUGUAAAGACUGUGACUUCUAACAAUGAUAUGAGGUGGGAAGAAAGCUGCUGUAUCAGUCUAGUUAAUUAGACAUAAUUUACUCUUCAGAAAUGUUCUUAUCCACACUGCUAUGUUAACUUUCAAGCUCAUUUUCACAUUUGAAUGAUUAUUAUGUUCUAGAAAGACAGUUUCAGGGUACUUAAACCCAACAUCGGCCUACUUUGAAACUGUGAGCCUGAAAUUCAGAACCACUACAUAAUAAAGAAUUUUAUAUUAGUAUCAGGAUAUGAAUGAAUAUUUUACUAAAAGUUCAAAUAAAAUCCUAAA